rnacentral:rRNA from 1 species
GUGGCGGCGUGCUUAACACAUGCAAGUCGAACGAGACGAUUUAGAAGCUUGCUUUUUUUGAGUCGAGUGGCAAACGGGUGAGUAACGCGUAGACAACCUGCCGCAAAGAUGGGGACAACAGUCCGAAAGGACUGCUAAUACCGAAUGUUGUAUCUCCUCCGCAUGGAAGAGAUAUUAAAGAUGGCCUCUACUUGUAAGCUAUCGCUUUGCGAUGGGUCUGCGUCUGAUUAGCUAGUUGGUGGGGCAACGGCCUACCAAGGCGACGAUCAGUAGCCGGUCUGAGAGGAUGAACGGCCACAUUGGAACUGAGACACGGUCCAGACUCCUACGGGAGGCAGCAGUGGGGAAUCUUCCGCAAUGGGCGAAAGCCUGACGGAGCAACGCCGCGUGAGUGAAGAAGGUCUUCGGAUCGUAAAGCUCUGUUGUCGGGGACGAAUGUUGAGACCUAGAACAUAGGUUUCAAAUGACGGUACCUGACGAGGAAGCCACGGCUAACUACGUG